CCUACGGGUGGCAGCAGUGAGGAAUAUUGGUCAAUGGCCGAAGGGCUGAACCAGCCAAGUCGCGUGAGGGAUGACGGUCCUAUGGAUUGUAAACCUCUUUUGUCAGGGAGCAAAGGGCGCCACGUGUGGCGCUUUGCGAGUACCUGAAGAAAAAGCAUCGGCUAACUCCGUGCCAGCAGCCGCGGUAAUACGGAGGAUGCGAGCGUUAUCCGGAUUUAUUGGGUUUAAGGGGUGCGUAGGCGGAAUGUGAAGUCAGCGGUAAAAUUUCGGGGCUCAACCCCGUAGUGCCGUUGAAACUGGCGUUCUUGAGUGAGCGAGAAGUAUGCGGAAUGCGUGGUGUAGCGGUGAAAUGCAUAGAUAUCACGCAGAACUCCGAUUGCGAAGGCAGCAUACCGGCGCUCAACUGACGCUCAUGCACGAAAGCGUGGGUAUCGAACAGGAUUAGAUACCCUUGUAGUC
rnacentral:rRNA from 1 species